AGCAGGAGUGUCCUUCUCCGGGCUGCACUUAACCCAGACUUCUUUUACGACUUGGGGCCUUGAGGAAACUGCCAUAAGGAUCCUUGCUGGUGCUUCCCAAAUAGGAGGCAAUGUUUCCUUAGGAAUUGUGACCCAAAAUCCUGAAGAAGCCACGCCUGGAUGGAGUGCACCUGCUGUGAGAAGCAAGUGGACAUGAAUAACGAAAGGGGUGGACUGUAAUAAGUUCUGUGCUGCCGUGCUCGGAUCCACUGUCCUGGGCCUGAAUGCCCCACUGCUGUAGGUCAGUGGCUCGUAGGUAUCAGCUGUCCCUUUCUCUAAAACAUCUGCCUGCACUGAUGGGAACAGGCUUGUCAAGAGACUUUUCACUGACUUCCAGGAUGGGGGAGCCCACAGGCAAUGGUUAACUGAAAAAGGGGGUAUGAAAGGCAGGAGUGAGAACUCUGCAGUUCUGUUUAUGCUCUGGAGCUCCCUUCACCCCCUACCACAGAUCAGGCCAAGGACAGACUUUCCUGAGAUAACAACCUUGCUCAGCUCUCCCCCAACCCCAGCCAUGCUUCACUCCCUCCUUCACCAGUUUUUUCUAUAAGGCACUUCCUCAAUAAAUCCUGAACACCUAAAACUCUGGUGAGGCUCUGAUCUUCUCCCUCUGUUGGCCCUUGGGCCUGGGGAGAAGACAUUCUGUUCCUUAUCCCACAGACAAAAAUAAGAAUGUUGGUGAAUGAAGCCACCAGAAGGCAGAAGUUUUAGAAGCGAAAGGUUCCAUGGAUGGCAGAAUUUACUCAGGACCACCUCUCAUUUUUAUGGUGUUUUAAACAAUGUGUAAUGCAUGCACAGAAAAGCACUCUGAAAUAUAUGGCUUGGUGAAUUUUU